rnacentral:lncRNA from 1 species
UUCUCAUCGCCUUAGUCAUGAGAGGUAAUCCUAAAUACCUCACAGGUAGCUCACCCUCAGCAAGAGGAAAAUUCGUUAAUAUACUUCUCUUCUCAACCUCUGGAACUCGUGCCAUGUAGAUCGUGGAUUUCUCCAAGCUUAUACGUAAUCCCGACCACACUUCAAAUGCAUCAAAUACUGAGAGGGCUCCUUCUAUAGACCUCUUUGAAC